rnacentral:rRNA from 17 species
AGCGAAAUUCCUUGUCGGGUAAGUUCCGACCUGCACGAAUGGUGUAAUGAUCCGGACGCUGUCUCAACCAUGAGCUCAGUGAAAUUGUAGUAUCGGUGAAGAUGCCGAUUACCCGCGAUGGGACGAAAAGACCCCGUGAACCUUUACUAUAGCUUCACAGUGGACUUUGACAUUGCUUGUGUAGGAUAGCUGGGAGGCUUUGAAGCGUGGACGCCAGUCUGCGUGGAGCCAAUCUUGAAAUACCAGCCUGGCACUGUUGAGGUUCUAACUCUGGACCGUAAUCCGGUUCGAGGACAUUGUGUGGUGGGUAGUUUGACUGGGGCGGUCUCCUCCCAAAUAGUAACGGAGGAGCACGAAGGUUAGCUAAUCACGGUCGGACAUCGUGAGGUUAGUGCAAUGGCAUAAGCUAGCUUAACUGCGAGACAGACACGUCGAGCAGGUACGAAAGUAGGUCAUAGUGAUCCGGUGGUUCUGUAUGGAAGGGCCAUCGCUCAACGGAUAAAAGGUACUCCGGGGAUAACAGGCUGAUCCCCCCCAAGAGCUCAUAUCGACGGGGUGGUUUGGCACCUCGAUGUCGGC